GAUGAACGCUGGCGGCGUGCUUAACACAUGCAAGUCGAACGAUGAAGCCCAGCUUGCUGGGUGGAUUAGCGGCGAACGGGUGAGUAACACGUGAGUAACCUGCCCUUAACUCUGGGAUAAGCCUGGGAAACUGGGUCUAAUACCGGAUAGGAGCGUCCACCGCAUGGUGGGUGUUGGAAAGAUUUAUCGGUUUUGGAUGGACUCGCGGCCUAUCAGCUUGUUGGUGAGGUAAUGGCUCACCAAGGCGACGACGGGUAGCCGGCCUGAGAGGGUGACCGGCCACACUGGGACUGAGACACGGCCCAGACUCCUACGGGAGGCAGCAGUGGGGAAUAUUGCACAAUGGGCGCAAGCCUGAUGCAGCGACGCCGCGUGAGGGAUGACGGCCUUCGGGUUGUAAACCUCUUUCAGUAGGGAAGAAGCGAAAGUGACUGUACCUGCAGAAGAAGCACCGGCUAACUACGUG
rnacentral:rRNA from 1 species